CGGGGAGAGAGGCUUGGGAAGCUGUACAAGGUUAUCUUUUUCUGACAAAGGACUAACUUCUUGGGAGUUUGUGUCACCUCUUCUGUUGAAGUACCACUGGGAUGCUUCAGGAUUUUCAUGUCAGAGAGGCUAACAAUGAGAACACAUGGACACAGGAAGGGGAACGCCACACUCUGGGGACUGCUGUGGGGUGGGGGGACGGGGGAGGGAUAGCUUUAGGAGAUAUACCUAAUGCUAAAUGACGAGUUAAUGGGUGCAGCACACCAACA
rnacentral:lncRNA from 1 species